GACGAACGCUGGCGGCGUGCUUAACACAUGCAAGUCGAACGGAAAGGCCCUGCUUUUGUGGGGUGCUCGAGUGGCGAACGGGUGAGUAACACGUGAGUAACCUGCCCUUGACUUUGGGAUAACUUCAGGAAACUGGGGCUAAUACCGGAUAGGAGCUCCUGCUGCAUGGUGGGGGUUGGAAAGUUUCGGCGGUUGGGGAUGGACUCGCGGCUUAUCAGCUUGUUGGUGGGGUAGUGGCUUACCAAGGCUUUGACGGGUAGCCGGCCUGAGAGGGUGACCGGCCACAUUGGGACUGAGAUACGGCCCAGACUCCUACGGGAGGCAGCAGUGGGGAAUAUUGCACAAUGGGCGGAAGCCUGAUGCAGCAACGCCGCGUGCGGGAUGACGGCCUUCGGGUUGUAAACCGCUUUCGCCUGUGACGAAGCGUGAGUGACGGUAAUGGGUAAAGAAGCACCGGCUAACUACGUGCCAGCAGCCGCGGUGAUACGUAGGGUGCGAGCGUUGUCCGGAUUUAUUGGGCGUAAAGGGCUCGUAGGUGGUUGAUCGCGUCGGAAGUGUAAUCUUGGGGCUUAACCCUGAGCGUGCUUUCGAUACGGGUUGACUUGAGGAAGGUAGGGGAGAAUGGAAUUCCUGGUGGAGCGGUGGAAUGCGCAGAUAUCAGGAGGAACACCAGUGGCGAAGGCGGUUCUCUGGGCCUUUCCUGACGUUGAGGAGCGAAAGCGUGGGGAGCGAACAGGCUUAGAUACCCUGGUAGUCCACGCUGUAAACGGUGGGUACUAGGUGUGGGGUCCAUUCCACGGGUUCCGUGCCGUAGCUAACGCUUUAAGUACCCCGCCUGGGGAGUACGGCCGCAAGGCUAAAACUCAAAGGAAUUGACGGGGCCCCGCACAAGCGGCGGAGCAUGCGGAUUAAUUCGAUGCAACGCGUAGAACCUUACCUGGGUUUGACAUGGAUCGGGAGUGCUCAGAGAUGGGUGUGCCUCUUUUGGGGUCGGUUCACAGGUGGUGCAUGGCUGUCGUCAGCUCGUGUCGUGAGAUGUUGGGUUAAGUCCCGCAACGAGCGCAACCCCUGUUCACUGUUGCCAGCACGUUAUGGUGGGGACUCAGUGGAGACCGCCGGGGUCAACUCGGAGGAAGGUGGGGAUGACGUCAAGUCAUCAUGCCCCUUAUGUCCAGGGCUUCACGCAUGCUACAAUGGCUGGUACAGAGAGUGGCGAGCCUGUGAGGGUGAGCGAAUCUCGGAAAGCCGGUCUCAGUUCGGAUUGGGGUCUGCAACUCGACCUCAUGAAGUCGGAGUCGCUAGUAAUCGCAGAUCAGCAACGCUGCGGUGAAUACGUUCCCGGGGCU
rnacentral:rRNA from 1 species